UGGCUCUCCAAGCGCUGGUGUGGAGCAGGAACUUGUGCUUCACGACAUUAAUCUCUGCCAUAGCGGUUUCCAGAGGAAGAAAAAGAUAAAGAAGCCAGUAGCUGCAUGCUGCAGGUGAGAUCAGUCGCACCCAGCAGCUGACAGGCCUCAGGCUAGGAGGGAGCAUCUUAAAAUUGGCUCCUCCUUACACCUACUGACUGCAGCUGUGGAAUACCAAAGAGGUGGCAUUGCUUUUCCUUCACCUCCCUGACUCUGCUCCUCUGGGUCUUUUUGCCCUAUCCAUGACCACAAACCUUUCCUGUAGGCAGGCCCCUGGUGGUUUUGCCCGUGCUGCAGGCAUUCUUCCUUUCCCAUUCAGUGUCCUCUGCAGGAAUCUUCCCCAAUGCAGCUUGAAUACCCUCUGAAGCGAGUCUUCUGCCACUGCCCUGAGUGGUGCUCCAGCUGGGGACAGGGAGGAGGAGGGUGAAACGUGUGCGGUGCCUGCAGCACGCGGCUGCUGGAGCCACCUGCCUUCGCCAUGUGAAUCCUUCUGGUUAUUCAUGGAUGGGGCCAGGUUUGGCAGACCUGGACGGGCAGAGGCUCUCGGAGCUGCAGAGCAGAUGUUCGCCUGUCUGGGGUGCCAGCAGAGGAAUUUGGGAUCUAUCUUCCCAGCCCGUUUGCUGGGCUGGCCAGAAGGACAGCGGGCAGGAGGAGGUGGCCCUGCAGAGGGGGGUGCAGCCUCCUUCCCUCCUGGGGCUGCGCUCCUUGUUCAGCACAACCGCACAUCUCCUGCUGGUGUUUCAGCUCAGCAAGUAAUUCUGGCUUCCAGCUGCUUGGGGGUGAAACCAACAUCCCGGCAGAAAUUUCCUCGAGCUGGAGUCCCCAGGGGCCCUGACGGUGUGCGUGCAGACAGGCGUUACCCCACUGCUCUGAGACACCUGCGCGAGGCUGGUAGACACGACACGGGACAUGCAGGACCUGGUGGCGACUGCAGAGGCUCGGGGAGAUGGAUCCUGGUUGUGUUGGGGCGGACACCCUAUCAAAAGAAAACUUCUGAGAUAAGCUGUGCUGCCGGUCACCGCUUCAAACAGCCCCAGCUUAUCGGGUCCAGCCCAGACACAGGCAGGAGAGGAGCUGAACGCGGCCACGUCAGGCUACGGUGGACGUUUCCUGCCAGAAGGAGCCCAGGACGAGCAGAAACCUGCAGCUGGCUGACAAGUGGCCUGCCCAGAGCCGAAAGUGAGAGGUGACUUCUCCAUCGAG
ensembl:lncRNA